rnacentral:tRNA from 1 species
GUGGCUGAGUGGUAAAGCACUGGCCUUCCGAUCCGGUGGUCCCGGGUUCGAAUCCUGGC